GCUCAGAUAAUUGCACGUGAUUGGUGUAAUGUCGUGGAUAAACCAAAGGCAUAUGUAUGCGUCCUCAGAACUUUGUUAUUGGUGAACAUAUUCUUACACCAUCUUCAGGCAUCGAGUCUCCAACUAAGGAUGUGCUAUAAGUGCGAAUUGAUAGUUUUACUGUUUUGAGCACUGAAGCUGGUUGAAUCGAAAAAAUUAAUCUUCAAUGUGGUAUGAGACGUGGCAGGGGAAGCCAUCAGAUUAGCUUGUGAUGCUACAAAUGACUCCCUGAUUAGUGCUGGAUACAGUUGUGAUAUAAAGGUUUGAUGAUGCUGUUGUACUUCAGUUCAAUUACAGUUUAUUUCAUUUUCACAAGAAA